UAAAUGCAAAAUGGCAGCAAAGGUGACAAA
rnacentral:piRNA from 1 species